GGGCUCGUAGCUCAGCUGGUCAGAGCACCUGCUUUGCAAGCAGGGGGUCAGGAGUUCGAAUCUCCUCGAGUCCA
rnacentral:tRNA from 1 species